rnacentral:rRNA from 1 species
UACGAAGGGGGCUAGCGUUGCUCGGAAUCACUGGGCGUAAAGGGUGCGUAGGCGGGUCUUUAAGUCAGGGGGUGAAAUCCUGGAGCUCAACUCCAGAACUGCCUUUGAUACUGAGGAUCUUGAGUUCGGGAGAGGUGAGUGGAACUGCGAGUGUAGAGGUGAAAUUCGUAGAUAUUCGCAAGAACACCAGUGGCGAAGGCGGCUCACUGGCCCGAUACUGACGCUGAGGCACGAAAGCGUGGGGAGCAAAC